AUUGAACGCUGGCGGCAGGCCUAACACAUGCAAGUCGAACGGUAACAGGAAACAGCUUGCUGUUUCGCUGACGAGUGGCGGACGGGUGAGUAAUGUCUGGGAAACUGCCUGAUGGAGGGGGAUAACUACUGGAAACGGUAGCUAAUACCGCAUAACGUCGCAAGACCAAAGAGGGGGACCUUCGGGCCUCUUGCCAUCGGAUGUGCCCAGAUGGGAUUAGCUAGUAGGUGGGGUAACGGCUCACCUAGGCGACGCUCCCUAGCUGGUCUGAGGGGAUGACCAGCCACACUGGAGCUGAGACCCGGUCCAGCCUCCUACGGGAGGCAGCAGUGGGGAAUAUUGCACAAUGGGCGGAAGCCUGAUGCAGCCAUGCCGCGUGUAUGAAGAAGGCCUUCGGGUUGUAAAGUACUUUCAGCGGGGAGGAAGGGAGUAAAGUUAAUACCUUUGCUCAUUGACGUUACCCGCAGAAGAAGCACCGGCUAACUCCGUGCCAGCCGCCGCCGUAA
rnacentral:rRNA from 1 species